rnacentral:lncRNA from 1 species
GAUAUAUUCGUGUAUCCAAAAUAUUUUAGUAUAAAUUAGAUUCAGUUUCAAUUCUCUAGAUACUAAAAUUUUAAAUCUAUUUAAAUAUUUAACCAAUUUGGAUUCGAAUUUCGUAAUAUUUUUUCUAAUCGGAAUCGGUUUCGAUUGUUGGGGGAUCAAAUUUUUUUUAGCAUAUAAUGCAAAAAAAAAGUUCGGUAAUAAAAAUGAGUAUAUCGAAUAAUUAAUGAACCAUAAAUGAUUAAUGUGAUUGCAGACGCGAAAAUAGUUUGAGAGGACACGUGUAGAUGAGAUCGAUCACGUCCGAAGAUUCCCGCCAAGAUUAUUUGGAUCACAUCACAUGUUCUUCAUUUUAGUUCAUUAUAAUCACAAUUAUAUCUUCAAUGCACCGACUUGAGUAAAAUUGGGGGUCCCAUUUGUAUUUUUUCUUAACGCCAACCCAUUUGGUCCAUGCUUCAGCUCUAGAGAGUUCGAGUCUAAUUUAUCUUUUCUUUUUUUUUUUUGCUAAAAUUUGAGAGUCUAAUUUAAUGUAACUGCAUUUUUUUUUUGACAAACCCUAUCUGCUAUCUAGUUGAUUAAGCAAUUUUAACGAUAUUGAAUGCACAAGUUGGAAAAUGUAUCAUUUUAGCCUAACCAAAUUUAAAUAUCCUUUUACUAAGGAUUUUUAGUUAUUAAACUUUUUAACUAAAGAUAAAUCGUAAAAGCAACCUUCAACUAAAAAUCAUGUAAAAUUAAUCUUCAAUUUUAGUUCCAUUAACAUAUGUUAUCUUCCGUCUAAAAAACCAUGACAGAGGGUGUCAUACAUUGAUGGUUUAGAAGUUGAAGAUUUAUAGUGUUGAAAACUUAGUUAAAGGGUAUUUUUACGAUUCAAAAAUAGUUGAGGGGUUUUAUCACAUUUUUUUGACGUCAAACGGCAAUUCUAUUAUUCAAUCUUGAGGUGGUCUAGGUAACCAAACCGGAAUAAAACAACCAAUAAAUAGUAGUUUCCUAUGGAAAAAUCUAAUAGUCUUAGCUAAAAAAUCUAAAAACUGAUUGCGCGCUCGUGAAACAUAAAUGAUGCUAAACUCCGGGACGCAUAUUUGCAGCGACACUAUUUUUUCCAAUUAUGUCGCAAAGCUUGGCCAUUGCUUGAGGAUCCUUUAUCAUUGCUAUCAGCUCCUUGUAGUCUGUGCUAAAGCUUUGACAGGUUGAAUGUUGAAGCAUGUUCUCCAUUGCCCACUGCAGAGCUUCUACUUCCG